rnacentral:rRNA from 1 species
UACGGGGGGGGCAAGCGUUGUUCGGAAUUACUGGGCGUAAAGGGUUCGUAGGUGGCCUGCUAAGUCAGACGUGAAAUCCCUCAGCUUAACUGGGGAACUGCGUCUGAGACUGGUGGGCUUGAGUGCAGGAGAGGAACGCGGAAUUCCAGGUGUAGCGGUGAAAUGCGUAGAUAUCUGGAGGAACACCGGUGGCGAAGGCGGCGUUCUGGACUGCUACUGACACUGAGGAGCGAAAGCGUGGGUAGCAAACAGG